GUCUGAGUGGCCGCGGUUAAAGUCUUGCCCAAAGCUUGAUUAGAGGCGGAACCCAUCAAAAGGGCUUCAGUUUGGCGGCGUCCUGGCUCCAGAAAGCGCGAAUUUGGAUGCUGGCAGGUAAACGAAGACGCAUCUGCAGUGGAGUUCGGGCGGAGAGGGUAAUGACCCGACAAAUGAAAGCUUUAAGGCACAACCUUGGCUAAGGUAUUUUAGAAGGCGAGCCAGCGUCCACGCCUGACCUACCUUUGCCUCUGAAUCCCGCGCUUUCCCGAAGGUCCCCAUGGGCCAGCGGUUGUCAGGGUAACAAACUUCGGCAGCUGAGCUCCAGAGUCACAGGACCCGGGAUGGUCACGUGGCUAACGGGUACAACGGGGCAGCUAUUGGUUUCCUUGGUCCAUUAGAAGCGAAGAUUGGAACCACCACCCUCAGGAAGAUACCGUGGUCGUCAAGGCGUAGCUGCUUCGCCAGUUUGCGCUCCUUGGGUUUCUCUUUGUUGCUGAAAAAAGUGUGUGGCCGCGAACCGAGUCCUGAAGCGUCGCAACGCAGGCGUAACGUGAAGCCCAGCCCGUGGCUUCCUGGGAGUUGUAGUUUAGCUUCCUCAGGACUCGAACUGUAUUUCCGCCCUUCCUCUCUCCUCCUACCAGUUUUACAACAGCCUUUAUUUUUAAACGCUGUGUCUCCCAAGCGGAAGUUUUCAAGAAUUUUAUUGGAUUUUCUUCACGUACAAAGCCCUGUAUCUGUGGAGCUGCUGUGAGAGGAAGGGCUAAAUGGAGGGCCCUGAAAAUGCCCCACCACCAUUCUAGUGAGUGGUGUUUUUGUGGUAGGUGAUGACAUUGAAUGGACAGUUACAGCAACUAUCACCUGAGAAGAGCAAAGCAAACCUAGAGAAAGAAGGUCUGGGUCACUACAGCAGUGAUUUCCUGGGGAGUACAGCACCGAGGUAAUCACCACCGAGGAAAGCGAAAGCAAAAGACGGAGUCAUGGGUUUCAGCCAUAGUCUCGGUUUCACUGGAGCUGUGUCAAGCAGCGAGAUUGUGACCGUGGCCUGUGCCAGCAAGAGAGCCGGAAAGCAGAGGAAAACACUGAACUGCAUUGCUCUAAUAAAACUGUUUUGGAUAAG
rnacentral:lncRNA from 1 species